UCGCGCUCGCGCGCGCGCGCGAGGCGCGACGCGGGAGCGGCGCCCGCACGGUAGACGACGGCGCGGCCGAGGCGCGCCGAGCUCCGCUGCCUGCGCCGCGGCGGCGACGGCGGCGGCGGCGGCGAGGUGAGGUGGGCGGAGAAGCGGAGAGGCCGAG
rnacentral:sRNA from 1 species